AAAAAGCUCGUAGUUGGAUUUCUGGGAGGGUGCCAAUGUCCGGUUGAUUCGUGCGCAGCGGCGGCCUCCCAUCCUUCUGUCAACGCUUCGCGGCAUUCAUUUGCCGGUCGCGGGCUCAGAUAUUUUACCUUGAGAAAAUUAGAGUGUUUCAGGCAGGCUAGGCCGGAAUACAUUAGCAUGGAAUAAUGGAAUAGGACUUCGGUCUCUUUGUUGGUUUGAGGGACCAAAGUAAUGAUUAAUAGGGAUAGUUGGGGGCAUUAGUAUUUAAUUGUCAGAGGUGGAAUUCUCAGAUUUGUUAAAGACUAACUUAUGCGAAAGCAUUUGCCAAGGAUGUUUUCAUUAAUCAAGAACGAAAGUUAGGGGAUCAAAGACGAUUAGAUACCGUCCUAGUCUUAACCAUAAACUAUGCCGACUCGGGAUCGGGGGCGCGAACUAGCCGCCUUCGGCACCGUAUGAGAAAUCAAAGUCUUUGGGUUCUGGGGGGAGUAGGUC
rnacentral:rRNA from 1 species